AUGCACGCUGGCGGCGUGCCUAAUACAUGCCCGUCGAGCGAACAGACGAGGGGCUUGCUCCUCUGACGUUAGCGGCGGACGGGUGAGUAACACGUGGAUAACCUACCUAUAAGACUGGGAUAACUUCGGGAAACCGGAGCUAAUACCGGAUAAUAUAUUGAACCGCAUGGUUCAAUAGUGAAAGACGGUUUUGCUGUCACUUAUAGAUGGAUCCGCGCCGCAUUAGCUAGUUGGUAAGGUAACGGCUUACCAAGGCAACGAUGCGUAGCCGACCUGAGAGGGUGAUCGGCCACACUGGAACUGAGACACGGUCCAGACUCCUACGGGAGGCAGCAGUAGGGAAUCUUCCGCAAUGGGCGAAAGCUUGACGGAGCAACGCCGCGUGAGUGAUGAAGGUCUUCGGAUCGUAAAACUCUGUUAUUAGGGAAGAACAAAUGUGUAAGUAACUAUGCACGUCUUGACGGUACCUAAUCAGAAAGCCACGGCUAACUACGUG
rnacentral:rRNA from 1 species